rnacentral:misc_RNA from 1 species
AAGUCGUAACAAGGUCUCCGUAGGUGAACCUGCGGAGGGAUCAUUAACACGUAUCCACGUAUUAACACAACGUGCACUAUAAUUGCGUUAUGAAAAGGAGUUGAAAAUUUUUAUUUUCUUCUUCUUUUCGCCUUUUUUUUUAAACCUUUUUCUAUAAAACUAAAACAUUCAUUUUUUGUUAAAAAUGACAAAUAAAUAAGGACUAAUCUUAAGUAGUUUUUAAGAUAUUAUUAUCUUAAAUCCUAUUUUUCUUUACGAAAAUUAGAACAACUCUUAACAACGGAUAUCUUGGUUCUC